UUCAUGGAGAGUUUGAUCCUGGCUCAGGACGAACGCUGGCGGCGUGCCUAAUACAUGCAAGUCGAGCGGAUAGAUGGGAGCUUGCUCCCUGAUGUUAGCGGCGGACGGGUGAGUAACA
rnacentral:rRNA from 1 species